CAAUGAAUGACGUUUAAUAAAUUGUCUUAAGUUACUUGGUCUUUAAGGAUUGUUUGAAGGGCUUGAACAGGCCUUUGGAGAUGGCAGAAAACAUCCUGACGAGAAGUGGACGUUUGUGCGGCGUCUCCUGUUGGGAGCUGGCGGGGAGAUCCUUUGGUAGUGCAGACAUGGCAGCAUGUGGCACUAUGCUGGGCACUACAGAAGAGAGAGAGAGUUAACAUGCAUUUUAAUUUAGAAAUGAUGUAAUGUAUGUUACAACUCAACAUAACUGACACUGAUAAAUGAGAGCCAGCAGCUUGAGGUUCGGAGAAUAUAAUUACUUUUACAUAAGAGAUGACUACUGAUUGCGUAUAUAACCUUAGUAAGGUUAUUCUGAAAUGGCAUUUCUUUGUACACCAAUAUCUGAAACAGACAAUGUCCUGUUGUGUGAACUUACGCAUGCCAUCUUCAGCAGUGGUCUGUACUUGUUCUGAUUCAGAGCGGUGGGAAUCCUUCUUCUUCCCCUUCUUGAAUAGCUAAGUAUUUAAAGAGAAAAACAUGUCCAAAAAAAAAAAGUCACAGCUGAACAACCUCAUGAUGAUAACAAUCACACCUACCACACCAGCACAACAACAUUUAUGAUUGGUUUUGGAAUGAAUGGAUGUUUUUAUAUUUUUUACACUGAAAAGCAUUGUUUACUCACAUUAUCUCCCACAACUGUUCAUUUAAAUACGUUUGCUGUACCUUUAAGUUGCUUGUCAGCCUGACCAGUCUUUGUAGGAAAGAUAAUUUCCCGCUGCUAGCCCUCACAUCCUCAUCCAGCGGAAGUGCCUUAGGCCCGGUGGUUUUGACUGAUGUUCUUGAGGCUGCCCUCAAUGCCUCAUUACAUCUGUGGAGAAGCUCUUCACUCAAAGACUUGACAAGAAUCCUAUCAAAUGAAGAGUCCUGAGUCGACACGGCCUGUUGGAGGAUUUUCUCUGAGCCAAACUCCUCCAACAGAUUUUUGUAGAUGGCCCUGUAGACUUUAUGAAUCCUCAGGUUCUCUGGAUAGGCUUGUGUCUCAGAGCAGCCUGACCAUGCACAGAAGACAUCCAUAACUUUGGGGAUCAGGUCUUGUGACUUGCGUGUGAUGUCAACUGGGUAAUCUUCUGUUGGGGUUUGGAUUUUUGUUAGAAUUCUCACCACUAACAUGCUGAUGAGGCCGGUGAAGUCAUCAUCACUGCCCAAGUUAUCAGAGGAUGGGGUUCGAAGUGGGACAUCUUUGACCAUGUCUGGGCUGGUUGACAUAUCGUCCCUGACAAUGUUUUGAGCUACACCAGAAUGACUGGUGGUAUCCACUUCCUCUCCAUCAAUGUUGGCCUUAAAGAUUUGUGCUGCAUUGGAGGUCUCGCUUGUUGCCAUAAUGACGCCAGAAAGAGACAGCCGAGGGGAGGACUUGCCACUCAAUAGAUUGCCUACAUCAGAUAUAGUGGUUUCAGAUGUUCGGAGAGAUUCAGUUGGAGAGGAUCCUCUACUUUGUGCAUCUGAAACCACAGAGUCCAUGACCUGGCUUACCAUAACUUUGGUAAAGAGACUGACUGUGUCACUAAAUACUGAUGAAGAAGAAGAGCAUGAAAUUCUAUCUUCAGACACUCUAGCCAACACCUUGGCCCCCUGAGCCAAACUCAUUGAAGUUAAAUAGGGCACAAAACUAGGAAGCAGGAGGCACUUAACAGACUCCUCUACAAACAGCUGAACCAGCUCAUAGGUUGUGGGCUUCCCCACCUUGUCAUUCCUCUUCAGCUUCGAAAGGACGGUAUCAGAUGCACUCUUUCCAGCCGCCACUGUCAGUACCAGAGGGGUCAAGUUGCUAUCAGAAAUUAUGUGGUUGACUUGGUGACUGAGAUCACGGGAGAGAGCACCAAUCCUACCCUGAGAUAUGAGCUCCUCCAGUCUAGCUAUUGCAUCUGUUAGAUCAGGGUGAGAUGUAACCUGCCCUUCAGCCUCUGGAUAUACCUUCUUCAUGAUGCUAUCUGCUAUGGCAAACAUGCUUGUUCUGGCAUCACACACCAAUGUUUUUGGCUUAGUAGAUUCGCUCAUGUCGAUGACUGAGCAUCUUACAAUGGGCUGAGCAGUACUUUCGGGUAACUCAGAAGGAAUGGGAGUGCCAGGGAGUGCAAAUUCCCACUCUGUCUUCUGUGAUUUGGCAGUUGAGAAUGACAACGAGGAGGAAGACCGCAGUGACUCUUGAUCGACCAAUUCCUCGCCACAUUCGCUGCUUAUCUUCUCAAUGUUCUCCAGCAUAGUUCCAACCACUUUAUCUAUUUGUGAAAGCUGUCCUGCAGCCACCAUUUGGUCAGAUUUUGACAGUUCUUUCUGAAUGGAAAGCAGAAUAUGGCUGAGGGUCUUUUUGGCUUGAGCCUUCGUUGCUUUGGCUUGUCUUUGCAAUGAGAAAUAAUUCCUCAUCUUUGCCUUCACAUUGUGGUAAAUAGUCUUUGCAGUUAUCCAUAUUUUCUUCUCAGAUACUUCCACACCAGUCUGGGAGCUUACAGCUGCAGCCUUAGUGGCUUCUGAGGUUUUCUCAUCACUCAGUUGAAGCAUAGAGUCUGCCUGCCAUAGAUUAGUAGGAGACUCUGUGAGCAGGAAAAUGCUCUUCAUAUCAUUUGCAAUUGAUCCAACAAUUUCAAAAGCAACUGAAUCUGUAUGCUUCGAGGAAAUGGUGGAUAAGGCUGGCGACAUCUGAGAAUCUGUCUGACUUGAACCGACUUCGCUGGGGAAGAGAUUGACAGAUUUGUUCAGUAUUUUUCUGACUUUGUUGGUUGCCUUCUUCUGAAACACUUCACUUGAAAGCUGCUCAAUGACUGAGGCUGGAGUAACACUUACUCCCUCCAAUGAUGAGGAACUGGACACAGGCAUGUCUUCUAGGUAAGACAUGAUACCAUCCAAAAAGUCACAGACUUCAAAGGAGUUGUAAGAGGAACUCUCUACAACACUGGACGUUGAUUCCAAAUCUGCCAUCUCGGACCUAUACACAGUCACAAUCUGAGAUAAGAUCUCUUUGGUGCAGGGCUCCAGAUUUGGAUCACAGAGAACCAGUAAAGGUUGGGAGUUCGCACUCUGGCAUUUGUGGAGAGCACCACGCCCAGUUGAGUUGACCUCUUGCAGUAUGGCCUCACUCUUACUGAGUAGAAGAGAGUUCUGACCAUGAGUACAAUCUGCUCUGGUCUCAAAUGGUUUCUCUUCUACAGAGCCAGGAACAGCAGAUGAACUGCAUUCUGCUAUGAGUGAUUCACUCCUACUUGCUGAAGAAGAGUUCAGGAUUGAACCAGGCAGAACACUGGAGUCAGUGUGCUCCAGAAGCACAGCACGGGAGUCAGCUUUCUCCAGAAGUUCUUCCCUUUGGAAUGCAGCUCCACCCGUUCUUUGAAAUAAUUCUUUUAUCUUUGCCUGGAGCCUGUCGCAGAGUCUACGAGACAUGUGAAAGGGUUUUCGCUUUGACAUACAGUGUCCCACUUGCGGAUCUCUCUGGGUGCUUGGUGGCUUAUCUAAUUCAGCUUGCGUCACAAUGCCUUUGACAUCUUCAACAAAGCUAUCAAUUAUAUUUGGCGCCUCGAAAUCCAUAUUGGUCUGUAUGAGACCAGUGGCCACGGAAUGAUGGAUCGUGUCAGGGUCAGACACAUUCAUCAAGCUGGGAGUGGCAGUAAAUGAAUGGGAAUGUUGAACCAAACCAGAGGUUCCCCUGGGGAACCAUCUCACUAGAAUCUCGCUCACAGACUUUGAGGCUUUGGUCUUGAACUUGUCACUUGACAGAAUGUCAAGGUUUUUCACCAAUGCCUUGCAAGAUAUACACAAGUUCAGCUCCUUUGGGAAAGAAAAGUCUUCAUCGUCCAGUUGCUCCACUGCAAGGUCACUGCCAGAUGCCAACAUUUUAACUUUCACAGCCACUUCUUGAAGCAGCUUAACCGAGUCUGCAUCUUCUCCUUCCAAUUCAUCCACCAUGUCUGCAAUAACAGUGAUCACCUCUUCUGUUGCAGAUGGAAUGUAGGAAUCAACAUCUAAUUGGUCCUCUGGAGCAGUGUGAUCAUAGAAAAACUUCUGGACCAUGUUAAUCAUCUGUUCAGCGGCCUGAGUACCAGAGGCAAUGGGGGAAGACCGCCCUGAAAUGGUUCUACUGAUGGUCAAAGAGAGGGCCAAGUUGAGCUGUUCAAGCACCUCCUUGAUAAGACCAACGGUCAGCUCAGGUGGGCAAGAGGCCAAAAUCUCAUGGUCAGAGAGUUGCUCCUGGACACUGCUGAUGAUACUGUCCUCUGGCAUUCCCAGGUGGAAUUUCACUGAGGUCUGGGAACUUUAAAAUGAACAAGCAAAGCAUGUUAAUUGCUGUCUGAAGUUGGCAAAUCGAUCUCUUACUGCUAAC
rnacentral:lncRNA from 1 species